CGAGUAAGUCAGAUAAUCGCGGUCACAGGAAACUGUGGACGAGGAAAGUCCGAGCUCCAUAGGGCAGGGUGCUGGGUAAUACCCAGUGGAGGUGACUCCAAGGAAAGUGCAACAGAGAGAUACCGCUAGACCCCUUGUUCGGUAGUAAUACUGAUACUUGUGGUGAGAACAGCUUUUGAGCUGUCUAGUAAGGGUGGAAAGGUGAGGUAAGAGCUCACCAGCAACUAGGUGACUAGUUGGCUAUGUAAACCCCAUCUGGAGCAAGACCAAGUAGGGACAAAAAAAGCGGCUGCCCGUCGCGUCCCGUGGUAGGUCGCUUGAGCCAAUUGGCAACAAUUGGCCUAGAUAGAUGAUUAUCCAAUACAGAACUCGGCUUAUAGAUUUGCUCGCUUU
rnacentral:RNase_P_RNA from 1 species